rnacentral:rRNA from 1 species
UUUCCGUAGGUGAACCUUCGGAAGGAUCAUUG